GAUGAACGCUGGCGGCGUGCCUAAUACAUGCAAGUCGAGCGAACAGACGAGGAGCUUGCUCCUCUGACGUUAGCGGCGGACGGGUGAGUAACGCGUGGAUAACCUACCUAUAAGACUGGGAUAACUUCGGGAAACCGGAGCUAAUACCGGAUAAUAUAUUGAACCGCAUGGUUCAAUAGUGAAAGACGGUUUUGCUGUCACUUAUAGAUGGAUCCGCGCCGCAUUAGCUAGUUGGUAAGGUAACGGCUUACCAAGGCAACGAUGCGUAGCCGACCUGAGAGGGUGAACGGCCACACUGGAACUGAGACACGGUCCAGAGUCCUACGGGAGGCAGAAGUAGGGAAUCUUCCGCAAUGGGCGAAAGCCUGACGGAGCAACGCCGCGUGAGUGAUGAAGGUCUUCGGAUCGUAAAACGCUGUUAUUAGGGAAGAACAAAUGUGUAAGUAACUAUGCACGUCUUGACGGUACCUAAUCAGAAAGCCACGGCUAACUACGUG
rnacentral:rRNA from 1 species